rnacentral:rRNA from 1 species
GACGAACGCUGGCGGCGUGCUUAACACAUGCAAGUCGAACGGAAAGGCCCUGCUUUUGUGGGGUGCUCGAGUGGCGAACGGGUGAGUAACACGUGAGUAACCUGCCCUUGACUUUGGGAUAACUUCAGGAAACUGGGGCUAAUACCGGAUAGGAGCUCCUGCUGCAUGGUGGGGGUUGGAAAGUUUCGGCGGUUGGGGAUGGACUCGCGGCUUAUCAGCUUGUUGGUGGGGUAGUGGCUUACCAAGGCUUUGACGGGUAGCCGGCCUGAGAGGGUGACCGGCCACAUUGGGACUGAGAUAAGGCACAGCCUCCUACGGGAGGCAGCAGUGGGGAAUAUUGCACAAUGGGCGGAAGCCUGAUGCAGCAACGCCGCGUGCGGGAUGACGGCCUUCGGGUUGUAAACCGCUUUCGCCUGUGACGAAGCGUGAGUGACGGUAAUGGGUAAAGAAGCACCGGCUAACUACGUG